rnacentral:rRNA from 1 species
UACGUAGGGUGCGAGCGUUGUCCGGAAUUACUGGGCGUAAAGAGCUCGUAGGUGGUUUGUCGCGUUGUUCGUGAAAACCGGGGGCUUAACCCUCGGCGUGCGGGCGAUACGGGCAGACUUGAGUACUGCAGGGGAGACUGGAAUUCCUGGUGUAGCGGUGAAAUGCGUAGAUAUCUGGAGGAAUACCGGUGGCGAAGGCGGCAUCCUGGACCGACAUUGACGCUGAGGAGCGAAAGCUAGGGGAGCAAACGGG